rnacentral:ncRNA from 2 species
CGAAUGCCAUACUCGGCGGGUCAACACACUCCGCGGUCGAGGUGAGGAAGCCGGUUCGAAUCCGGCACGGUCGCGCCACUGUGAGGGCCCCCACGGGCCCGAGUCAGACACUCACCCGCCGCUUCGAUGGGGA